GGAUAUUUCCAGCAAUAGAUGUGGAGAACCUGCUCGCAUGAAGUGACAAAUCUACCGGCUUCUGGGAGGUUAAAUGUUACUGACAGGAUUCAUACACGAAGUCUUAUUUUUCGCUGGCACUCCUUUACAUUGCUGCAUUGUCUGAGUAGGCAAUGGAAAAUCUACUGGUUUCUGGGUUUAAAGAAAGCUGUGGCCUCGAUAUGGACAUCACCAAGGUUGCUUGUCUGGGUUCAUGCUCUGUGCAGGCGGAUGGUUCUCAGAAAAUCUCGGACCUGCAAUCCCUCCAUGGGAGUAGCUUUAGUUUAGACUAUCUUCGGGAAAAUCGAGGGGACUACCUCAAAGUUGUGAUAUUAUCUAGUCUGUGGAGGGGAAGGAGACUUGAAGGGAAUGCAGAUCUUAUCAUGAUUUGCCUCGGCGAAUCCGCCGGUUCAGAUGAAAUUGAUAUAUCUGGUUGAGAAUUUUCAUUAUGGACCGUGCGGGGCUCAUCUUCUCGGAACUUAUGAGCUCAUUGGAGCAGCUGGAGGAAAAGUAUUAUGUCCUAUAUGUUUCAGAUGCUUCUAGGUCGACCCAGUAUCCUUCAGUGAGGGGAGCUGGAGAGGUUCCUUGCUGAAAGUUCUAAUGCACCAAGCAACGGAACAGGUGCAAUGGUGCUUGUCAGGUUAAAUCUUCGCUUUUGGAAGGACUCCUAGUGGCAAUUAAGUUGCUCUCCUCUUUUUUCUC